rnacentral:lncRNA from 10 species
UGGGACUACAGGUGCCUGCUACCAUGCCCGGCUAAUUUUUUGUUGUUGUUGUCGUUGCUAUUUUUAGUAGAGAUGGGGUUUCACCGUGUCAGCCAGGAUGGUCUCCAUCUCCCGACCUCGUGAUCCGCCUGCCUUGGCCUCCCAAAGUGCUGGGAUUACAGGCGUGAGCCACUGCACCUGGCCCUGAUCAUUCAGGAAGAAGAAAUUACAUGAGGAGAACUUUCUAAUCAGUAUGCUUAGUGAUCUUGAGAUGACAUCAUACUGGAUGAUCCUAGUGCACCCUAAAUCCAAUAAGUGUUCUUAUGAAAGACAGAAGAGGAGAAGAUACAGAAAAUAGAAGGCUAUUUGAGGAUGGAAGCAGAGCUUGGAGUUAUGCAGCUACAAACCAAAGAAUGCCUUGAACCACCAGCAGCUGAAAGAGAAACAAAUGAAAUGCAAAAUAGACAAACAAACAACCCAUCAAAAUACCUUGAAUCACUGUUGGUGGGAAUGAAAAUUAGUUCGACCAUUGUGGAAGACAGUGUGGAGACUCCUCAUGGAUCUAGAAUCAGAAAUCCCAUGACCCAGUAGUCACAUUACUUGGUAUAUACCCAAAGGAAUAUAAAUCAUUCUAUUAUGAAGACACAUGCACACAUAUGUUUAUUGCAGCACUAUUUAUUAUAGCAAAGACAUGGAACCAACUGAAAUGCCCAUCAGUGAUAGACUAGAUAAAGAAAAUGUGGUACAUAUACACCAUGGAAUACUAUGCAGCCAUCUAAAGAACUAGAUCAUAUCCUUUGUAGGAACAUGGAAACCACCAUCCUCAUCAAACUAACACAGGAACAGAAAACCAAACACUGCAUGUUCUCACUCAUAAGUGAGAGUUGAUCAACGAGAACACAUUGACACAGGGAGGGGAACAACACACAGUGGGGCCUGUUGGGGCGUGGGGGGAAAGGGAAAGGAGAGCAUUAGGACUGAUACCUAAUGCAUGCAGAUUAAAACCUAGAUGACGGUUUGAUAGGGGCAGCAAACCACCAUGGCACAUGUAUACCUAUGUAACAAACCUGCAAAUUCUGCAUAUGUAUCCCAGAAAUUAAAGUAAAAUAAAAUAAAAUAAUAAAAACAACAACCAAAUGUACCUUGAAUCUCCAAAAUAAGUUAACACAAAUAGUUAAAAUUGAGCAUGCUUUUAUUAGAAGAAGAAAAUGUCAUUGAAAAUAUAACAGAUAAUUUAUAGGUGGGAACAUACGUAAAAACGUAUAACUACUUAGAUCUGCUAGAUAAAGUGAGUCCCAAAUGAUAAGGUUACAAAAAUAAUGUUUUUUUGUAGAAUAUGUGUUUUCAAUGAGAAAGUGUUGCAAAAGUCAGUCAUACAGAUUGGUAACUUUUAUGUUUAUUUUUCAAAAGCAGCUCAAAAUAGUUCUUUAGAUUCUGUAACAACACGGUGUCCUAAUUUUGCUCCUAAAAUUUUGUCACAAAAUUUUAAAUUCACUUGCAAAUUGAUCUUCAUUUAAUCUUCCUCUAGGUGUGUAAGCUAAAUCAGAGAUCUGCAUGAACUGCUUGUUACUCUUUCAUGCUAUACAUCCUCCCUAGGUAAUUUUGAUCACUGCAAUCUUUUCCAUCAUCAUUUCUACUUGAAGACUAACUAAUAUAGGUAGAACAAAUGUCAACUUCUAGAUCUAUAUGCUUUCCAGAUAUCUCAAAUAAAAGAUAAAAUUUGGGGAGAUAUACCAUGUUCAUGAUUUUGAAAUAGUCAAGACUGUGUGAUAUUGUCCUCAAGAAAGACUAAAUAGAUCAACAGAACAAAAUAGAAAAUACAAAAACAGAUUUACACAUAUAGUUAAUAUCUUUUUUUUUAAAUAGCAAGUCAAUUCAUCAGGGAAAGUAUCAGCUUUGAAGAAAUGGAAGACUUUUCAAAGCAAGAAAUGUAAAACAGUUGGGUAUUUAUAAGCAAUAGAAAACAAAUUUGAUUCAUAGCUUGCAAAAUAUAUAAACAUUAGUAAUAAGCCAACCUGCAUGUAUUGAA